UACGUAGGGGGCAAGCGUUGUCCGGAAUCAUUGGGCGUAAAGCGCGUGUAGGCGGCCCGGUAAGUCCGCUGUGAAAGUCGGGGGCUCAACCCUCGAAAGCCGGUGGAUACUGUCGGGCUCGAGUACGGAAGAGGCGAGUGGAAUUCCUGGUGUAGCGGUGAAAUGCGCAGAUAUCAGGAGGAACACCGAUUGCGAAGGCAGCUCGCUGGGACGUUACUGACGCUGAGACGCGAAAGCGUGGGGAGCAAACAGG
rnacentral:rRNA from 1 species